rnacentral:lncRNA from 1 species
AGGAUCCUCCAAAACACAACUCUUUCUUCGGUGUGUACAAUCGAACCGUUGCCAUCCCGCGUUACUGUAAGAACCUGAAACAACAUAACAUAAACAACGUAAGCACGAAGCUUAGUGAGUUCCCCAAUAUACCUUACGCACAUACGCCUUCCGGCCCGACCUUCCGGUCCAUGUGUCUCAGGGGACUUCCGUCCCUGCUGGGUAAACCUUCCGGCCUUACCCACGCCGACCUUCCGGUCCAUCACACAUCCUCCGGUCCAUGUGUCUCAGGGGACUUCCGUCCCUGCUGGGUAAACCUUCCGGCCUUACCCACGCCGACCUUCCGGUCCAUCACACAUCAUAUCGCCUUCCGGCCCAUAAUAUAUUCGCCUUCCGGCCCAUAACAUACAUAGCACAUAUAACAUAUAACAUACCACAUAUAGCAUACAUAUCACAUAUCAUAUCCGACCUUCCGGUCACACAGUCAAACCCUUCCGGGUACAGUAUAGUGAGAAGACUCACCUCGCGGACACUAGAAGAUAGCAACUCCUAAAGUCCCUUGCACUUGAUACUCCGAGCUACAAGCUCCCUGUAACAUCAUAUAUCCCUUAUCAAUACUUCUAUCUUCCACGUUAACUGACCCUAAGAAAUCACACCAGUCAACUCUGGUCAACAGUCCAUUGUCAGCUCGACUGGACUCGGCGAGUUCCCUGGCGACUCGGCGAGUCUGGUCGUCCUUCAAUCCUCUAAGAUUCCCCUUCUACUCGUCGAGUAUCCUCUUUGACUCGACGAGUCACUCCUGGAAGAAUCGCGGGGCCACCCCGACUCCACUCGCCGAGUCUGAAGAACAACUCGGCGAGUCCCAGUGAAUCUUCAAGCUACUCGCCGAGUCUGAUCAUCCGACUCGGCGAGUCCACGCCAUGCAGUCGAUCAAACUGCUUCCUGAGAUACAUAUUUCCCCGAAUAUACAAACAUAGGACCUUCUGGACCUCUAAGGGGUACUAAUACAGGGUUAUAAACGUUGGAUAACAACACAACAAUCCAUCUAAUCUCCAAAUGGGUUUCACAAACCCUAAAUCCAUGCACACAUUCACAUAACAGAAAAUAAUCCGAAAGGUUACCUGAAUCAUGCACUCUCAGUGUCCCCAAGCCUCAAAACGUGAUUCCCUUGCUGUCCCAUUAGCCAAAACCUUCUCCUUCUUGGACAAUAACUUCCUCAAAUCACCAAUGAUCUUCAAUCCUUGUUCUGGAUGCCCACAACCGAUUUAGGNNNNNNNNNNNNNNNNNNNNNNNNNNNNNNNNNNNNNNNNNNNNNNNNNNNNNNNNNNNNNNNNNNNNNNNNNNNNNNNNNNNNNNCUCGCCGAGUCCAUAUCGGACUCGUCGAGUCCAGUCGCGAACCCACGACCCGGUCUGCGAUCCUACUCAGCGAGUCAAGGCUCCAACUCGCCGAGUCCCUUUUUAAAACACCCCGAAAUCAUAAUUAUAUCAAUAUUUGAAAUUCCGGGCUGUUACAACUCUCCCCCACUAGAACUAGACUUCGCCCUCGAAGUCUCACUCUGAAAAUAGCCCUGGAUGCUGCUCCCGCAUCACACGUUUCGGCUUCCCUAAACACUUCCGAUAUCUUCCGAGGUCGCUACUGAACCAAUACCAGAGGUACCUCCUUGUUCCUCAGAACCUUGAUCUUCCGAUCUCCGACGGCCACUGGCCUCUCGACGUAACACAGGCUCGCAUCCACCUAAUCGUUCUCUAGUAGAACCACUGCUGACUCAUCCGCUAUACACCUCUUCAACUGCGACACAUACCAGUGUCAUGGAUCCGUCCCAAUUCCGUUGACAGCUCCAAACGAUAGGCCACCCUUCCUACCUUCGCACCUUCACGAAAAGACCCAACAUACCGGGGCCCCCCAUUUACCCCUCUUCCUAAAUCGAAGCACCCCGUCAGAAAUACGAAGUCGCUGACCUGAAUCACAUACUCGUAACGGCGUCUGCCUGCAUAACUUUCCUGUUAACUCUAAACGAUCACUAACUCUCCUUAACCUGCUGAGUCUGCUCUGUCGACUGAAGCCCAAACUCUGUACUGUCCAUCUCUCUCUGUAACCGAGAACCACCCAAGAUGCAACUCUGCUCUUAAACCCCAACAAUCACUCGAACAAUGAGGGUUAGGAAGCCCUGAACCACCGGAUCCCCGAUCCAAAGCCCACUUUGUCCAUCCCAGACCAACUGAGAGAUCCAUUCUCACUCCCAGAGUAACUCUCACAAAUUCUCCUCUUGCCAUCAUAUACACAUGCUGAACUAGCCCCAACACUCGUAGGUUGGAAGACCCGAUACACUGAUGAUAUCCUCGAACAUCUCCCAAGAUGAACCACUACAUCCACCCUACACUCUGAUCAGAUUCACACUGAGAAUUUAAAAUUUUCUCUCUCCAUGCAUCCCUUCUGAGCCUCAACAGACAUCCCAACCGGAUGGGUUCCUACUCCACUGCCGCGAACACGAUGCUCAAAACCAUACUCGAAAUACUCUAACCAUAACUCUGCUCUGCAGCUUUCACUUUCGUGAACUUGCACCCCCUUCGGAGUUACAUACCCUCCUCUUUUCCUUUUCCACGGAACUCUCUUGAACAUAAUGCCACUCCAACCGGUGCCACGGUGCUCGCCCCAAGCGACACCACCCUUUUUGCGUAACUGCUAUUCACAUACUCUGGUUCUCAUUGCAGGGGCUCUCAAUCCCAUGCACUCUCUCCACUCAUCAAAAUCACUGCCUCCGCUAAACAAGAUCAAUAACCCGGGGCCAGACCUUCCAAUGCAAUCACACUGCAACAUACGCGAUCCGCAAAUCUCAAACUAAUCCAGCAAUACCAACAGAGUCUCCAGUAUGACUGGACCGACUCUCAUAACACAUACUAGCCACUCGAGGCUAUAUCUCUGUGGGUCCGUACACCCAACUCUGCGAACCCUCAGGUUCUAACUCUGGGAACCUUCCGGUUCCAGCUCUAGAAACAUGCACAACAUAAUCCCGUGGGAUUAAUGCAGUACAACCCAUCACGUACCUCAAACGUACCAAUACUCUGAUCGCAAAAUUCCGAUUACUUACUCAAGCUUGAUCCCGACCUCCUCUCAGGCCUCCACAAUCAAAUGCCCUAGGUCUGUAUCUCGCCCCGCAUACCCAACACUCGCUCUCGUCGGCCUAUACUUUGCGCUGACAAACACUGCUGAAUCCCAACAGCUAAGCACCCUUACAUACUCAUCGAUCUCCCGGAGAAUUUUACAAUUCUCCCCCACUAAAGCACUGACUAACUGCCACCGAUCGUCAUUAACGACCUUUCAGAACCAUCCUGCACAAAGAGAACAUUUACCCACUGACUGCUUCCCACAAGCGUAAGCAACCCUCAGCAAAACACAUCUCCUCCCUGAUCAAUCCGCUCAAAAGAAUCCGAUCUUUCAAUUAUCCACUCCACAACUGCAGAUGCUACCCGUCAUUCAACCCAGUGCCGCAUCUCCACUAUCAACCCUCACGAACGAUGACCAACGGAAUUCCCAAGCAAUAACCCAUAACCAAACCCACAACCUGCCAAAGGUUGAAUAUCGCAUCGAAAACCACCCAAGGCUACCGGCACCAAAACACCAAGCUAUAAUCAUGCCAAACCCGCGAAACAACGAAUACCUCAUCGAAAUCCACACCAGACACCAGCACCACAAUACGCCACAAUCAACGCCAGCUAGUCAAGAUAUCAAGAGAGCAUCAUACCCGCAGCUGCCUCUGGCACUGCUCCGUCUCCCUCUGCCGCAAGCCGAUAAGCACGACCCUGAGCCCUUGGGCUCUGCUCCAUCCUGUCCUCCUCCUGAACUCCUCAAGGUGGCCGAUGCUAGAGCCUGCACCGGUCCUGCAGGAAACUGUGGACGGUUGACCCUCAAAUGUCCAACCUGCCGACACUGAUAACAAAUCCUGAAAUCCCGAAUUGGCACUGACUGCCGACAAUCCCGUGCACCAUGCCCCUCCUUUCCGCACUUGCGGCAUGCACCACUGGGCCAACAAGCUCCGGUGCCAUCUCUCUCACACUUCCCACAAGUGUGACCGCUCCGAUCCCCCAUUCUAACGUCUACGGUCAUGGACCGUUUCGGCGCCGACUGCGACUGCAUCGGGGCCUGCCUCAUCUCACGCUACUGCAACUCAACCUCUAACUCACGCCACAUGGCGGCCUCCUGCGAUACCAACACGGUCUCGCGCCUCUGCGCAGACACGAACUGUCUGAUCCCCCCCCUUGAGCAUACUCGGAUAUCGGGACAUCUGAGCCUGCUCCGAAGCGAACUCAGGGCAAAACAUCGCCCUCUCAAUAAACAUCCCGGUGCUCUCAGUCACCGACUCCAAAUCCUGCCUCAGCUUAAAGAACUUCCGAGCCAAUUUCUCCUUUUCAUCCCGCGGAACAUAGCGAGUACUGAACAUCCCUCUGAAUUGAUCCCAUGAAACCGCAGCCCUCUGCGCAUCGGAAAAUGACCUCGUGGUCAAUCUCCACCAAUCCUUCGCCCCGAGCCUCAAUAGGUUCAGAGCACACCCCACCCUCUGAUCAGCAGGGCAUAAACUCGUGGAGAAACACCCCUCCAUGUCUGAUAACCAUCUCAUAGCAACAAUCGAGUCCUGAACUCCAUCGAAUGUGGGAGGCUUCGCAUAAUAGAAGUCCCGAUACUGAAAACCCCGACUAGUCCCUUUCUUUGCCGUUGCUACAGCCGCUGUAACCGCCGCGGCAGCCGUCUCUGCGAAAGCCGCAUAUCGCUCAUCAAACUACUUCAAUCAUAGUGGUCCUGAUCGACCCAAACAAUUCUGGCGACUCAACCCGCAACAAUGCAGCAACCUCAUCACGCCGGAUCUCGCGAAUCCUCGCAUCCCGCUCGCUCGUGCUCGUCCGAUCGAUAACCGGAUAACAAGAUAGCCACAAGCAUCAUCCACUACGAACCAUGGUACUCAUCCCAUGACAUCCUUCCUCAACAUGCUUCGGUGUAUGGUACCUGAACCAUAGCACCAUUCCUCAACCUGCUCCAAUGUAUAGCACUCGAACCACAACAUCUAUCUCAAUCUGUUCCGAUGUAUGGUGCCCUGACCAUAACAUCACUCUGUAUCCGCUCCGAUGUAUGGUAUCCGAACCAUAACAUCACCCCUCAAUCUGUUCCUUAGGACCUUCAGAAUGCCCCCUGUAUCAAGUAUGGGUCCUCUGCUUUCAGUAGUACGGGCCCAUACUACCUGCCACAUCUACCCAUACUUUCCACACGGACCAUCCCAGAGUUCCUAAGUAGCUGAUAAACCUGCUCUUUCACCCAUCUCAUCGCGCGUGCUCGCUUUCCAGCGAAAUCCUCUACUCUACCAGCGCACUCAUCUGGCUAGGUUUACUCCCUAGUCCCUUCCGCUGUCCUCCCACUUCUUUGCUAUCAGCUGCUGAAGAGUUCCUAAUGAUGCCAGCCCUCUACCUCCUGAGUAUCGUCAUACUCACUUAGUAGCUGACUCCCAUCAUCGACAACUCCACAAAGCACAAAGCAAGCAGCAUUCGAGCAUUGAAGCAUACAUAGGACUCCCCAUCUGUGGUAGCUCCACCUUCUCGGCUCAUCCUCGGAAGUACCUCUGUACCCCGUAGCUUUACCCCUUGUGCGUUCCGACUAGAUACUCUCACUCAUCACACGCACACAAAAUCAUAAUGCACAUAUAACAGCAGACCCUAGACUAAGGCAUCACAAAUCAGGCCACUCUAGUCCUAAGAUGUGAAAUACCUAGCCUGUCUCUAGCAUGCAAUAAUAUCUCAUAAAGUGCAUAAUAGAUAUUUCAUAAUACAAAAGUAAGGGUAUUUUGGGAAAUCACCGUUUGGCUCUGGCUGAUUGUACACACUGCUCUUUCUUGCUUUCUCUUUGAACUCUUAUUCACUUUUAGAAAACCAUUUAUUUGGAAAACUUUUUCUUACUUCCUCAGUUUGAGUCCAGAUUUACCCGUAGGCGCGUCCGAAUCCCUCAAACCAAGGCUCUGAUACCAAUUUGUAACACCGUGAUUUCCAAAAACAAAAUUUUCAUUUAAAUAAUCAAUUUAAUAUUAAAAACACUUGUUUAAAAUCUUAUUCACAUUCGAAUUACAAAACAUAGUUUCAUUUUCAUUAUAAUAGAAGACCAGGAUCCUCCAAAACACAACUCUUUCUUCGGUGUGUACAAUCGAACCGUUGCCAUCCCGCGUUACUGUAAGAACCUGAAACAACAUAACAUAAACAACGUAAGCACGAAGCUUAGUGAGUUCCCCAAUAUAACUUACGCACAUACGCCUUCCGGCCCGGACCUUUCGGUCCACAUAACAUUGCCUUCCGGCCCGACCUUCCGGUCCAUGUGUCUCAGGGGACUUCCGUCCCUGCUGGGUAAACCUUCCGGCCUUACCCACGCCGACCUUCCGGUCCAUCACACAUCAUAUCGCCUUCCGGCCCAUAACAUAUUCGCCUUCCGGCCCAUAACAUACAUAGCACAUAUAACAUAUAACAUACCACAUAUAGCAUACAUAUCACAUAUCAUAUCCGACCUUCCGGUCACACAGUCAAACCCUUCCGGGUACAGUAUAGUGAGAAGACUCACCUCGCGGACACUAGAAGAUAGCAACUCCUAAAGUCCCUUGCACUUGAUACUCCGAGCUACAAGCUCCCUGUAACAUCAUAUAUCCCUUAUCAAUACUUCUAUCUUCCACGUUAACUGACCCUAAGAAAUCACACCAGUCAACUCUGGUCAACAGUCCAUUGUCAGCUCGACUGGACUCGGCGAGUUCCCUGGCGACUCGGCGAGUCUAGUCGUCCUCACCAAUUCCUGCAGAAUCCCUUUCUACUCGUCGAGUAUCCCUCUUGACUCGACGAGGUCCUCGUGGAAGAAUCGCGGGGCCACCCCGACUCUACUCGCCGAGUCUGAUGAACAACUCGGCGAGUCCCAGUAAAUCUUCAAGCUACUCGCCGAGUCUGAAGAACAACUCGGCGAGUCCAUGCCAUGCAGACGAGUAACUGCUUCCUGAAAUACGUAUGGUCCCGAAAUACACAAUCAUGGGACCUUCUGGACCUCUAAUCAUCCUAUUACUGGGUUACAAACACUUGGGUAACAACAUAAUAAUUCCUCUAAUCACCAAAUGGGUUUCACAAACCCUAAUCCCAUAACACAUCAACAUAGCAGAGGAUAAUUCGAGUUCUUACCUGAAUAAUGAAUCCUCUGUGUCCCCAAUCCUCAGAAUGUGACUCCCUUGCUGCUCCUUUAGCCAAUCCUUUCUCUUCCUUGCACAACAAUUCUUUCAAGAUCAACAAUGGCCCUAAGACUUUGCUCCAGAUGCACCCACUCGAUUUAGGGUUCUUCCCAGAAGGCUAAACUGAACAAUGAUGGCCAAUGACUGCCUCUUAUACGUCCCAACCUGAACGGUUAGGGUUUUUCGCUAACAGCGUCGACUCGCCGAGUCCAUAUCGGACUCGUCGAGUCCAGUCGCGAACCCACGACCCGGUCUGCGAUCCUACUCGGCGAGUCAAGGCUCCAACUCGCCGAGUCCCUUUUUAAAACACCCC